CUGGGUGUAAAAUUGGUCACAUUGCUAUUAGCUGGGUGAAGAAAUGGUCACAGUGCCGAUAGUUGGGUGGAGAAAUUAUCACAUUGCCGGUGCCUGGGUUGAGAAAUGGUUACAAUGCCACUAGCUGGUUGGAUAAAUAAUCAUAUUGCUGGGAGCUGGGUGUAGAAAUGGUUACAAUGUCGAUAGCUGUGUGGAAAGGUGAUCACAAUGCUGGGAGCUGGGUGUAGAAAUGAUCACAUUGCUGAUGCCCCAAUGGAGCAAUGGUCUAGAUUCCAGUGCCUGCAGCAGAAAUGUUCACAUUGCCAGUAUCUAGAUGGCGAAAUGGUCACUUGGGGGAUGGCGAAAUAUUCACAUUGCCGGUAACUGUGUGGAGAAAUGGUCACAUUGCUGGUAACUGGGAGGAGAAAUGGUCAUGUUGCUAGUAGCUGGGUGUAGAAAUGGUUAGAUUGCCAGUAGCUGGGUGGAGAAGUGGUCACCUUGCUGGUAGCUGGGUGGAGAAAUGGUCACCUUGCUGGUAGCUGGGUGGAGAAAUGGUCACCUUGCUGGUAGCUGGGUGGAGAAAUGGUUACCUUGCUGGUAGCUGGGUGGAGAAAUGUUCACCUUGCUGGUAGCUGGGUGGAGAAAUGUUCACCUUGCUGGUAGCUGGGUGGAGAAAUGGUCACCUUGCUGGUAGCUGGGUGGAGAAAUGGUCACCUUGCUGGUAGCUGGGUGGAGAAAUGGUCACCUUGCUGGUAGCUGGGUGGAGAAAUGGUCACCUUGCUGGUAGCUGGGUGGAGAAAUGGUCAC